rnacentral:tRNA from 1 species
GCCGGAGUGGUGAAAUUGGUAGACGCAGGGGACUCAAAAUCCUCCGGGCCUUAAAGCCCAUGUCGGUUCAAGUCCGACCUCCGGCACCA